GACGAACGCUGGCGGCGUGCUUAACACAUGCAAGUCGAACGAGACGAUUGAAAGCUUGCUUUUGAAAGUCGAGUGGCAAACGGGUGAGUAACGCGUAGACAACCUGCCUUUGAGAUGGGGACAACAGUUCGAAAGGACUGCUAAUACCGAAUGUGGUAUAUUUUCCACAUGGAAGAUAUAUUAAAGAUGGCCUCUAUUUAUAAGCUAUCGCUCAAAGAUGGGUCUGCGUCUGAUUAGCUGGUUGGUGGGGUAACGGCCUACCAAGGCGACGAUCAGUAGCCGGUCUGAGAGGAUGAACGGCCACAUUGGGACUGAGACACGGCCCAGACUCCUACGGGAGGCAGCAGUGGGGAAUCUUCCACAAUGGACGAAAGUCUGAUGGAGCAACGCCGCGUGAGUGAAGAAGGGUUUCGGCUCGUAAAGCUCUGUUGUCGGGGACGAAUGUGCAGUAUUUGAAUAAAGUAGUGUAAUGACGGUACCUGACGAGGAAGCCACGGCUAACUACGUGCCAGCAGCCGCCGUAACAC
rnacentral:rRNA from 1 species